GAUGAACGCUGGCGGCGUGCCUAAUACAUGCAAGUCGAGCGAACAGACGAGGAGCUUGCUCCUUUGACGUUAGCGGCGGACGGGUGAGUAACACGUGGAUAACCUACCUAUAAGACUGGGAUAACUUCGGGAAACCGGAGCUAAUACCGGAUAAUAUAUCGAACCGCAUGGUUCAAUAGUGAAAGACGGCUUUGCUGUCACUUAUAGAUGGAUCCGCGCCGCAUUAGCUAGUUGGUAAGGUAACGGCUUACCAAGGCAACGAUGCGUAGCCGACCUGAGAGGGUGAUCGGCCACACUGGAACUGAGACACGGUCCAGACUCCUACGGGAGGCAGCAGUAGGGAAUCUUCCGCAAUGGGCGAAAGCCUGACGGAGCAACGCCGCGUGAGUGAUGAAGGUCUUCGGAUCGUAAAACUCUGUUAUUAGGGAAGAACAAAUGUGUAAGUAACUCUGCACGUCUUGACGGUACCUAAUCAGAAAGCCACGGCUAACUACGUG
rnacentral:rRNA from 1 species